rnacentral:rRNA from 1 species
GACACAACUCUCGGCAACGGAUAUCUCGGCUCUCGCAUCAAUAAAAAACGUACCGAAAUGCGAUACCUGGUGUGAAUUGCAAAAUCCCGCAAACCAUCAAGUCUUUGAACGCAAGUUGCGCCCAAGGCCACCCGGUCGAGGGCACGCCUGCCUGGGCGUCACG